rnacentral:rRNA from 1 species
UACGUAGGGGGCAAGCGUUGCCCGGAUUUAUUGGGCGUAAAGGGCGCGUAGGCGGUCACGCACGUCCGUUGUGAAAUCGCUCGGCUCAACUGGGCGGGGUCAGCGGAUACGGCGUGGCUGGAGCAAGCUAGGGGGCAAUGGAAUUCCCGGUGUAGUGGUGGAAUGCGUAGAUAUCGGGAGGAACACCAGUGGCGAAGGCGGUUGCCUGGAGCUUUGCUGACGCUGAUGCGCGAAAGCGUGGGGAGCGAUCCGG